rnacentral:rRNA from 1 species
AGUGAACGCUGGCGGCGUGCCUAAUACAUGCAAGUCGAACGAUGAAGCUUUUAGCUUGCUAGAAGUGGAUUAGUGGCGCACGGGUGAGUAAGGUAUAGUUAAUCUGCCCUACACAAGAGGACAACAGUUGGAAACGACUGCUAAUACUCUAUACUCCUGCUUAACACAAGUUGAGUAGGGAAAGUUUUUUCGGUGUAGGAUGAGACUAUAUAGUAUCAGCUAGUUGGUAAGGUAAUGGCUUACCAAGGCUAUGACGCUUAACUGGUCUGAGAGGAUGAUCAGUCACACUGGAACUGAGACACGGUCCAG